rnacentral:miRNA from 1 species
GACGACCUAAGCCGGACGACUU